rnacentral:tRNA from 1 species
GCGACUGGGGCUGGCUUGGUAAUGGUACUCCACUGUCUAUGGAGAAUAUGCGAGUUCGAAUCUCGUCAGUCGCG